rnacentral:rRNA from 1 species
AAUCUGCAUGGCCGAAAGCCUCAGGUUUCUGGAGGAAGGUUCGUCCGCUCCAGGUCAGUCGGGAGCUAAGGUGAGGCCUAACGGCGUAGCCGAUGCACAGACGGUAGAGAUUCCGUCACCACCAAAAGAGUUAAACACAGGGACACAUAUGAAGUCUCGGAGCCGGGUGUUGGUUCCGGUAGCGAUCGAGGGAAGUUAGUACCGAAGUCCGGGAUGGAAGAUGGCGAGAAAAGCUGUGUGUAUUUCUGCGGUGCCCGUACCGCAAACCGACACAGGUAGGUAGGAAGAAGAUUCUAAGGCCAACGGGAGAAGGGUUGUUAAGGAACUCGGCAAAUUGACCCCGUAACUUCGGGAGAAGGGGUGCUGCAGCAAUGCAGCCGCAGAGAAUCGGCCCAAGCAACUGUUUACCAAAAACACAGGUUUGUGCUAAAUCGAAAGAUGACGUAUACGAGCUGACGCCUGCCCGGUGCUGGAAGGUUAAGAGGAGAUGUGCAAGCAUUGAAUCGAAGCCCCAGUGAACGGCGGCCGUAACUAUAACGGUCCUAAGGUAGCGAAAUUCCUUGUCAGGUAAGUUCUGACCCGCAUGAAAGGCGUAAUGAUUUGGGCACUGUCUCAACAGCCCGCCCGGCGAAAUUGUAGUACCGGUGAAGAUGCCGGUUACCCGCGACAAGACGGAAAGACCCCAUGGAGCUUUACUGUAGCCUAAUAUUGGGUUUCGAUGUUGCAUGCACAGGAUAGAUGGGACACUAGGAAGCAGGUGCUUUGGCGCUUGUGGAGUGGCCGUUGGGAUACCAUCCUUGCGAUAUUGGAAUUCUAACCUGCGCCUUUGAAUCAAGGCGGGGGACAUUGUUAGGUGGGCAGUUUGACUGGGGCGGUCGCCUCCUAAAGAGUAACGGAGGCGUUCAAAGGUUCGCUCAGCUUGAACGGAAAUCAAGCAAAAGAGUGCAAACGCAGAAGCGAGCCUAACUGCGAGACUGACGGGUCGAGCAGUAACGAAAGUUGGAGUUAGUGAUCCGGUGGUAUGUGAGUGGAAAUGCCAUCGCUCAACGGAUAAAAGUUACCCUGGGGAUAACAGGCUGAUCUCCCCCAAGAGUCCACAUCGACGGGGAGGUUUGGCACCUCGAUGUCGGCUCAUCGCAUCCUGGGGCUGUAUUCGGUCCCAAGGGUUUGGCUGUUCGCCAAUUAAAGCGGUACGCGAGCUGGGUUCAGAACGUCGUGAGACAGUUCGGUCCCUAUCUGUCGUGGGCGCAGGAUAUUUGAUGGGAGCUGUUCCUAGUACGAGAGGACCGGAGCGGACGUACCUCUGGCGCACCAGUUGUUCUGCCAAGAGCAUAGCUGGGCAACUAUGUACGGAUCGGAUAAACGCUGAAAGCAUCUAAGCGUGAAGCCGACCCAAAGAUAAGAUAUCCCAUUGUUUUAAACAAGUAAGACCCCUUGAAGACUACAAGGUUGAUAGGCACGAUGUGUAAGUGGAGCGAUCCAUUCAGCAAGCGUGUACUAAUAGGUCGAGGGCUUGACCA